rnacentral:snoRNA from 1 species
AUGGCUGUACUUACAGCGAUCGUUUCUAUGGUUUGUUAUUAGAGAAACUUCUUUGAAGGUAUAAAACCUAUGGUAGGAUGCAGUAUUCUCUCAUGAGUGUGAAGCAGGAUUUUGAUGUUCUGUGGGCAGCUGCUUUUUCACUUUAAUGAUCAUUCUUCUGUUUUAGGGCAGAGGGAGAGAGUGUAUUCUGAGUGGC